rnacentral:rRNA from 1 species
GCCCAGCUUGCUGGGUGGAUUAGUGGCGAACGGGUGAGUAACACGUGAGUAACCUGCCCUUAACUCUGGGAUAAGCCUGGGAAACUGGGUCUAAUACCGGAUAGGAGCGCCUACCGCAUGGUGGGUGUUGGAAAGAUUUAUCGGUUUUGGAUGGACUCGCGGCCUAUCAGCUUGUUGGUGAGGUAAUGGCUCACCAAGGCGACGACGGGUAGCCGGCCUGAGAGGGUGACCGGCCACACUGGGACUGAGACACGGCCCAGACUCCUACGGGAGGCAGCAGUGGGGAAUAUUGCACAAUGGGCGAAAGCCUGAUGCAGCGACGCCGCGUGAGGGAUGACGGCCUUCGGGUUGUAAACCUCUUUCAGUAGGGAAGAAGCGAAAGUGACGGUACCUGCAGAAGAAGCACCGGCUAACUACGUGCCAGCAGCCGCGGUAAUACGUAGGGUGCGAGCGUUAUCCGGAAUUAUUGGGCGUAAAGAGCUCGUAGGCGGUUUGUCGCGUCUGUCGUGAAAGUCCGGGGCUUAACCCCGGAUCUGCGGUGGGUACGGGCAGACUAGAGUGCAGUAGGGGAGACUGGAAUUCCUGGUGUAGCGGUGGAAUGCGCAGAUAUCAGGAGGAACACCGAUGGCGAAGGCAGGUCUCUGGGCUGUAACUGACGCUGAGGAGCGAAAGCAUGGGGAGCGAACAGGAUUAGAUACCCUGGUAGUCCAUGCCGUAAACGUUGGGCACUAGGUGUGGGGACCAUUCCACGGUUUCCGCGCCGCAGCUAACGCAUUAAGUGCCCCGCCUGGGGAGUACGGCCGCAAGGC